GACGAACGCUGGCGGCGUGCUUAACACAUGCAAGUCGAACGGAGCGCCUAUGAAGGAGAUUUCGGUCAACGGAAUAGGCUGCUUAGUGGCGGACGGGUGAGUAACGCGUGAGGAACCUGCCUUUCAGAGGGGGACAACAGUUGGAAACGACUGCUAAUACCGCAUAACACAUAGGUGUCGCAUGGCAUUUAUGUCAAAGAUUUAUCGCUGAAAGAUGGCCUCGCGUCUGAUUAGCUAGUUGGUGAGGUAACGGCUCACCAAGGCGACGAUCAGUAGCCGGACUGAGAGGUUGGCCGGCCACAUUGGGACUGAGACACGGCCCAA
rnacentral:rRNA from 1 species